CCAUAGUAGUGACUAAAUAUACACGGUCCUUGCCCUCAUGAAGCUUUCCGUCUCCUGAGAGAACGGUAAUGAACAAGGUCGGAGGGCAAUGAGAGAGACUGCCCUGGUUGAUUGGGGACGGCCUCUCCGAGGGAGAUAUACUAGGGCCAACCUGAAGGAUGAGGAAGUCAGCCAGGAGGCGAGCAGCGGGACAAGCAUUCCCAGCAGAGGAAAUGGCACGAGUGAGGCACGAAGGGUUCCCAAGCCUCUGGAAGUCCCGGAGGAAGAGAGGUAAGAACUUCUGCACCAACUCAGAGUGAAAAAGAGGUGGCAGAGCCAAGGGAAGGUCUCGGGCAAGGUCCUUGGGAGAAGAACCCUGCCGCCUUGGGAAGGAGGAGUAAAAAAUGAAACCACCAGAAAGCGAUGAAAAUGAGGAAUUCAGUGACUCCCUCAUGUUGCUAACAGAAAUGAGAAGAACAGGCUCAGAAGCAGAGCCCUGCAACAAUCCAGUGUCCUUCUUUUUUGGCUUACACUAAAACAUUAGUCAGCACUCCUGGGAAUGAUCUGUCAACCAGUUAUAAACUCACUUAAAUCUGCUGUCAUCUGGUCAUCAUUUCCCCACUAUGUCCACAAGGGCAUCACCAGGUACCAUGUAAAAUACUCUACUGAAAUCAAGAUAAUGUCACCCUAAUAAGAAACUAACCAUGCAGAGGUAAAAGAGAAUGCUCAUAUUCUGUUUAAUAAUACUU